UUCCUAUAGCAACCAGCGGGACCUGCCGUCCCCCGGGGCACCCCGAGGGGUCUGCGCCCGCUUCUUUCCGAAACGGGAAGGCGCUGGGGGCUCGGCAGCCAGAGGGACGGGUUCAGGGAGCGUCCGGUGAGCCUAAGACGCGCCUUUGCCGGGGUUGCCGGGUGUCUGCCUCUCACUUAGGUGUGCGCGGCGCUCGCAAGUGGUCAGCAUAACGCCGGGCGAAUUCGGAAAGCCCGUGCGUCCGUGGACGACCCACUUGGAAGGAGUUGGGAGAAGUCCUUGUUCCCACGCGCGGACGCUUCCCUCCGUGUGUCCUUCGAGCCACAAAAAGCCCAGACCCUAACCCGCUCCUUUCUCCCGCCGCGUCCAUGCAGAACUCCGCCGUUCCUGGGAGGGGAAGCCCGCGAGGCGUCGGGAGAGGCACGUCCUCCGUGAGCAAAGAGCUCCUCCGAGCGCGCGGCGGGGACGCUGGGCCGACAGGGGACCGCGGGGGCAGGGCGGAGAGGACCCGCCCUCGAGUCGGCCCAGCCCUAACACUCAGGACCGCCUCCAGCCGGAGGUCUGCGCCCUUCUGAGGACCCUGCCUGGGGGAGCUUAUUGCGGUUCUUUUGCAAAUACCCGCUGCGCUUGGACGGAGGAAGCGCCCACGCGUCGACCCCGGAAACGAAGGCCUCCCUGAUGGGAACGCAUGCGUCCAGGAGCCUUUAUUUACUCUUAAUUCUGCCCGAUGCUUGUACGUGUGUGAAAUGCUUCAGAUGCUUUUGGGAGCGAGGUGUUACAUAAAUCAUGGAAAUGCCUCCUGGUCUCACCACACCCAGGGUGACAGCUGAGAUGCGGCUUCUCCAGGGUGGAGCCUCCUCGUUUUCCAGAGCUGCUUGUUGAAGUCUUCCCAGGGCCCCUGACUUGCACUGGAAACUGCUCACCUUGGCAUCGGGAUGUGGAGCAAGAAAUGCUUUUGUUUUCAUUCAUCCUAGUGUUCAUAAAAUGGAAAACAAAUAAGGACAUACAAAAACAUUAAUAAAAUAAAUUAAUGGAACUAGAUUUUUCAGAAAGCACAACAAACACAAAAUCCAAGUAUUGCCAUGUCAGCAACACAUUCCUACUUUAAGUUUUAUGAAGUUAAUUGGAGUAGUGGAGAACAAAAGUGGAUGUGGGGCAGAUCUGCGUCCUGCAUGUGUCUUGCAGCCAGACUGUUCCAGCUGUUGCAGACCUCAAAAUAGAGAGGACCCAGGUUUUCUGAUUUUGCCUUCUUUUUUUUUUUUUUAAAUUUAUUAUUGUUAUACUUUAAGUUUUAGGGUACAUGUGCAUGAUGUGCAGGUUAGUUUCAUAUGUAUACAUGUGCCAUGCUGGUGUGCUGCACCCACUAACUCGUCAUCUAGCAUUAGGUAUAUCUCCCAGUGCUAUCCCUCCCCCCUCCC
rnacentral:lncRNA from 1 species